rnacentral:miRNA from 1 species
CACUUUUAAAAUCGACUACUUAAGAACCAAUUUUGUAUACUACAUACAAAAUCAGUUCUUAAUUUGUCAAUUUUAAAAGUA